rnacentral:rRNA from 1 species
ACUCCUACGGGAGGCAGCAGUGGGGAAUUUUCCGCAAUGGACGAAAGUCUGACGGAGCAAUGCCGCGUGAGGGAUGACAGUUUUCGGAUUGUAAACCUCUGUGAUAUAGGAAGAAAAAAUAUUUUAGGAAAUGAUGAUACAUG